GGCUUGGUACAUAAAUUUUAGAAUUAAUUUCAUACGUAUCUUUGUAAAUAUAGUAAAUCAUAAAUAUAUUUCUAUAAAAUUUAAUUUAUAUAUAUAUAUAUAUAUUGUCUCUGUAAAAGUCCUGAUGUUUUCAAAUAUGUUCUUACUGUUAAAAUUCGUUAGAAAGUUUUAGUUAAUCAUAGGUUAAAUACUUAAUCUUGAUUAGUUUUUUAUAUUUUUAUCCUUCUUAUAUUAUACUGUUAUGACUUUUAGAGAGACAUAUUUAUAGUGGUAAAAUUGAAAAAAUAAAUGAUUUUCUAAUAGCUCUCUAAGAGUAACAAACCAAAAGGACAUGUUUCAAAAUAUCAGAACUUUUGUAGGAAUAAUAUAUGAAAGUUGAACUUUGUAGGGAUAUAUUUGCUAUUCACUAUAUUUGCACGGAUUUGCAUGAAAUUAAUCCUAAAUUUUAUCUCUACCUGAUUCAAAAUUGAAUAGAUUUUAUAUAAUAUAUUUAAAUGCUUAAUAUCAUAUUUAAGUUAAUAUUUAAAAAAAUUAAAUUUUAAUACAAUAUGUUUAGAAAUAGAGUAAAUAAAAAAAUAAUUAUUUCGAGUUCGGAAUUAGGAUCGGGUUUUGGAUUUUUUUAUUGAAUUCGAUUUUAGAUGUGAAUUUUUAAAGCGCGUCAGGUUCGGAUGCGAAUUCGGGUUUGAAUUAACAUUUUGAUUUGGAUUUUGAUUGUCGAAUUCGAAUUUAAAUUUUUUAAAAAUUCGUUUCGAAUCUGACGAGUUGACAUCCCUACUUAGCGA
rnacentral:lncRNA from 1 species